UACGAAGGGUCCUAGCGUUGUUCGGAAUUACUGGGCGUAAAGGGCGCGUAGGCGGCCCGCUAAGUCAGGUGUGAAAUCCCCAAGCUUAACUUGGGAACUGCAUUUGAUACUGGCAGGCUAGAGAUCGAAAGAGGUGAGUAGAAUUCCUAGUGUAGAGGUGAAAUUCGUAGAUAUUAGGAAGAAUACCAGAGGCGAAGGCGGCUCACUGGUUCGAUACUGACGCUAAGGCGCGAAAGCGUGGGGAGCAAACAGG
rnacentral:rRNA from 1 species